UACGAAGGGGGCUAGCGUUGUUCGGAAUUACUGGGCGUAAAGCGUGCGCAGGCGGCCAUUCAAGUCAGGGGUGAAAGCCCAGAGCUCAACUCUGGAACUGCCCUUGAAACUGUAUGGCUUGAGUAUGAGAGAGGUGAGUGGAAUUCCCAGUGUAGAGGUGAAAUUCGUAGAUAUUGGGAAGAACACCGGUGGCGAAGGCGGCUCUCUGGACCGUAACUGACGCUGAGGCGCGAAAGCGUGGGGAGCAAACAGG
rnacentral:rRNA from 1 species